GACAGAGGGUGCAAACGUUGUUCGGAAUUACUGGGCGUAAAGCGAGUGUAGGCGGUUCGAUAAGUCGGAUGUGAAAGCCCCGGGCUCAACCCGGGAAGUGCACUCGAUACUGUCGAGCUAGAGUAUCGGAGAGGUUGGUGGAAUUCUCGGUGUAGAGGUGAAAUUCGUAGAUAUCGAGAGGAACACCGGUGGGGAAGGCGGCCAACUGGACGAAUACUGACGCUGAGACUCGAAAGCGUGGGGAGCAAACAGG
rnacentral:rRNA from 1 species